GUCAGGAUGGCCGAGCGGUCUAAGGCGCUGCGUUCAGGUCGCAGUUCUCCAUUGGAGGCGAGGGGUUCAAAUCCCACUUCUGACA
rnacentral:tRNA from 1 species